rnacentral:rRNA from 1 species
GACGAACGCUGGCGGCGUGCUUAACACAUGCAGGUCGAACGAAGUGGCGAACGGGUGAGUAAUACGUGGGUAACCUGCCCUCCUUUUUGGGAUAAGCCUUGGAAACGGGGUCUAAUACCUAAUAAAGGGGGAUGGGCUCUCGGCCUAUCAGCUUGUUGGUGGGGUGAUGGCGAACCAAGGCGGUGACGGGUAGCCGGGCUGCGAGGGGGAGCGGCCACAUUGGGACUGAGGGACGGCUCAGACUGCUACGGGAGGCAGGAGUGGGGGAUAUGGCAGCAGGGGGGAAAGCCGGAUGAAGCGACGCAGCGUGGGGGAGGGAGGCUGUGGGAUUGUAAACCUCUUUGGCUAUCAAACGGGUAGGUGGAGAAGAAGCGCCGGCUAACUACGUGCCAGCCGACGCGGUAAUAC